rnacentral:rRNA from 1 species
GAUGAACGCUGGCGGCGUGCCUAAUACAUGCAAGUCGAGCGAACGGACGAGAAGUUUGCUUCUCUGAUGUUAGCGGCGGACGGGUGAGUAACACGUGGAUAACCUCUCUAUAAGACUGGGAUAACUUCGGGAAACCGGAGCUAAUACCGGAUAAUAUUUUGAACCGCAUGGUUCAAAAGUGAAAGACGGUCUUGCUGUCACUUAUAGAUGGAUCCGCGCUGCAUUAGCUAGUUGGUAAGGUAACGGCUUACCAAGGCAACGAUGCAUAGCCGACCUGAGAGGGUGAUCGGCCACACUGGAACUGAGACACGGUCCAGACUCCUACGGGAGGCAGCAGUAGGGAAUCUUCCGCAAUGGGCGAAAGCCUGACGGAGCAACGCCGCGUGAGUGAUGAAGGUCUUCGGAUCGUAAAACUCUGUUAUUAGGGAAGAACAUAUGUGUAAGUAACUGUGCACAUCUUGACGGUACCUAAUCAGAAAGCCACGGCUAACUACGUG